CCUACGGGUGGCAGCAGUGAGGAAUAUUGGUCAAUGGGCGUAAGCCUGAACCAGCCAAGUCGCGUGAGGGAUGAAGGUUCUAUGGAUCGUAAACCUCUUUUAUAAGGGAAUAAAGUGUGGGACGUGUACUGUUUUGUAUGUACCUUAUGAAUAAGGAUCGGCUAACUCCGUGCCAGCAGCCGCGGUAAUACGGAGGAUCCGAGCGUUAUCCGGAUUUAUUGGGUUUAAAGGGUGCGUAGGCGGCCUUUUAAGUCAGCGGUGAAAGUCCGUGGCUCAACCAUAGAAUUGCCGUUGAAACUGGGAGGCUUGAGUAUUGUUGAGGCAGGCGGAAUGCGUGGUGUAGCGGUGAAAUGCUUAGAUAUCACGCAGAACCCCGAUUGCGAAGGCAGCCUGCCGAGCCAUGACUGACGCUGAUGCACGAAAGCGUGGGGAUCAAACAGGAUUAGAUACCCUGGUAGUC
rnacentral:rRNA from 1 species